rnacentral:tRNA from 1 species
GGAGGGGUGGCAGAGUGGUCGAAUGCGGCGGUCUUGAAAACCGCUGAAGUCGCAAGGCUUCCGUGGGUUCGAAUCCCACCCCCUCCG